rnacentral:piRNA from 1 species
UGAGAGGUCUUGAGCUCCUUCUGUUGGC